rnacentral:rRNA from 1 species
GACGGAGGGGGCAAGCGUUGUCCGGAAUUACUGGGCGUAAAGGGCGCGUAGGCGGGUGGACAAGUCUCUCGUGAAAGCCCACGGCUCAACCGUGGAAUUGCGGGAGAUACUGUCUGUCUUGAGUCCGGGAGAGGAGGGUGGAAUUCCCAGUGUAGCGGUGAAAUGCGUAGAUAUUGGGAGGAACACCGGUGGCGAAGGCGGCUCUCUGGACCGGUACUGACGCUGAGGCGCGAAAGCUAGGGGAGCAAACGGG